GCGGGCAUAGCCUAGUGGCCAGGCAGCAGCCUUCCAAGCUGAGAACACUGGUUCGAUUCCCGUUGCUCGCUCCA
rnacentral:tRNA from 2 species